ACGGCCAACUCCUAGAAACAGAAACUACUCGAGUCAAGACUGAAAACAUAACUGCCUCCGCAAUCUACUCCAUCGUGGUUUUAUCAAAGAUGGAACCUUCCCAUAAUCUUUCUCUACUGAAUUUUCUGAUAUUCAUUUUCUCAUAUCAUCAAACAUGUCGAAGUCUACCAACCGGUGGAUAGAUCGAGACUCGAAAUCAGUAAGGAUAUUAUGAUUGGGAAGGACUUUAUUUGGGUAGUCUCAAGAGUGCAGCCUGCACCUAAUCCGCAUCAGUUGCAAGACGCACAAAUUUACUGCUUGACAAAAUGCCUGAAACACCAGAAUUAUUGGGCCAAAUCCAGAUGCCAGGACGAUAAACAUGGACCCUGCGCAUAAAGUCCAUUUCUUAUCUACUCAAACAGGUUUGUGACAUACAAGUUUAAGAUGCAGCUUAUACAUCUGUUGUACAGAUUAUAUGAUAGGCUUGAAAUAAGAGGGGAAGGCUAAUGAUGGAGGUAGAGGACGGUGAACAUGCAAAGAAAAAUGAACGGAUGAGAAUGCCUGCAACAGAAGGGAUUAGCAUAUUAAUGCUCAUUGACCAGUGAAACAGAGGUGUUUGGACGUGAUGAAAAGGGCUGCGUUCGUGCGAUGUGUGGCGAGGCAUCGAAGACAGAAAUACAUACUUGCUUCUGCAGCUUGUAGGCGAACAAUUACGUAUGGAGAAAUUGAAAAAUCAAGAUCUUCAAACUCAGCUAAAUAUUUUAGAGGAAAGAGUUAAUGUUUUUGAGGCAGGAAGGCAGGACAACAAUACUGCUUAAUCAUCCUCUGCUGCUCCACAACAGUAUCUAGUAAUUGGAUGCGUCUUGUCGAAUUUAAAGAAGAAGGCAGUUGCAGUUGGACGUGUUAAAUUCAGACCACCACCAAAUACUGAAAAUUAUGAAGUCCUUAUCGAUGAAAUUGCUGAUGGCCAUAUGAAACUGUGUUGGAGAUGGGACAAUUGGACAUAUUGAUCUUGGUGAGAUGAUUGAAUGGCUAAAGCAAUACGUAAAUGGUGCACUUGGAUGUUAAAUCGUAUUGUUUUAUUUUUUAUGUUAUGUUGUAAAUGAAGUAACUUUUGUUGUUGAUUCAGAGAUGUUUGGGUUGUUAAUUUGUUAACAGAAACCAAAAUUAAUUUUAAUAGAAUGGGUUGCAGUUGCUUACAAAA